rnacentral:rRNA from 1 species
AACAGGAUUAGAUACCCUGGUAGUCCACCCCGUAAACGAUGUUGACUUGGAGGUUGUGCCCUUGAGGCGUGGCUUCCGGAGCUAACGCGUUAAGUCGACCGCCUGGGGAGUACGGCCGCAAGGUUAAAACUCAAAUGAAUUGACGGGGGCCCGCACAAGCGGUGGAGCAUGUGGUUUAAUUCGAUGCAACGCGAAGAACCUUACCUACUCUUGACAUCCAGAGAACUUUCCAGAGAUGGAUUGGUGCCUUCGGGAACUCUGAGACAGGUGCUGCAUGGCUGUCGUCAGCUCGUGUUGUGAAAUGUUGGGUUAAGUCCCGCAACGAGCGCAACCCUUAUCCUUUGUUGCCAGCGGUUCGGCCGGGAACUCAAAGGAGACUGCCAGUGAUAAACUGGAGGAAGGUGGGGAUGACGUCAAGUCAUCAUGGCCCUUACGAGUAGGGCUACACACGUGCUACAAUGGCGCAUACAAAGAGAAGCGACCUCGCGAGAGCAAGCGGACCUCAUAAAGUGCGUCGUAGUCCGGAUUGGAGUCUGCAACUCGACUCCAUGAAGUCGGAAUCGCUAGUAAUCGUAGAUCAGAAUGCUACGGUGAAUACGUUCCCGGGCCUUGUACACACCGCCCGUCACACCAUGGGAGUGGGUUGCAAAAGAAGUAGGUAGCUUAACCUUCGGGAG